rnacentral:rRNA from 1 species
UACAGAGGGUGCUAGCGUUAAUCGGAAUUACUGGGCGUAAAGCGUGUGUAGGUGGUUAAAUAAGUUAGAUGUGAAAUCCCCGGGCUUAACCUGGGCAUUGCGUUUAAGACUGUUUAGCUUGAGUACUGUAGAGGAUAGUGGAAUUUCCAGUGUAGCGGUGAAAUUCGUAGAUAUUCGCAAGAACACCAGUGGCGAAGGCGGCUCACUGGCCCGAUACUGACGCUGAGGCACGAAAGCGUGGGGAGCAAACAGG